GUGCCAGCCGCCGCGGUAAUACCGGCAGCCCGAGUGAUGGCCGAUAUUAUUGGGCCUAAAGCGUUCGUAGCCGGCCAGACAAGUCUGUUGGGAAAUCCACGCGCUCAACGCGUGGGCGUCCAGCGGAAACUGUCUGGCUUGGGACCGGAAGGCUCGAAGGGUACGUUCGGGGUAGGAGUGAAAUCCCAUAAUCCCGCACGGACCACCGAUGGCGAAAGCACUUCGAGAAAACGGAUCCGACAGUGAGGGACGAAAGCCAGGGUCUCCAACCGGAUUAGAUACCCCUGUAGUCC
rnacentral:rRNA from 1 species